rnacentral:rRNA from 1 species
AUUGAACGCUGGCGGCAUGCUUUACACAUGCAAGUCGAACGGUAACAGGCCGCAAGGUGCUGACGAGUGGCGAACGGGUGAGUAAUGCAUCGGAACGUGCCCAGUCGUGGGGGAUAACUACUCGAAAGAGUAGCUAAUACAGCAUGCGAUCUAUGGAUGAAAGCGGGGGACCGUAAGGCCUCGCGCGAUUGGAGCGGCCGAUGUCAGAUUAGGUAGUUGGUGGGGUAAAGGCUCACCAAGCCAACGAUCUGUAGCUGGUCUGAGAGGACGACCAGCCACACUGGGACUGAGACACGGCCCAGACUCCUACGGGAGGCAGCAGUGGGGAAUUUUGGACAAUGGGCGCAAGCCUGAUCCAGCAAUGCCGCGUGCAGGAAGAAGGCCUUCGGGUUGUAAACUGCUUUUGUACGGAACGAAACGGCUCUGGUUAAUACCCGGGGCUAAUGACGGUACCGUAAGAAUAAGCACCGGCUAACUACGUG